rnacentral:rRNA from 1 species
CCUACGGGAGGCAGCAGUGGGGAAUAUUGCACAAUGGGCGGAAGCCUGAUCCAGCCAUGCCGCGUGAGUGAUGAAGGCCCUAGGGUUGUAAAGCUCUUUCACCGGUGAAGAUAAUGACGGUAACCGGAGAAGAAGCCCCGGCUAACUUCGUGCCAGCAGCCGCGGUAAU